AGUUUAACGGCAGCACGGGGAUUCUGGUCUGGUGGCGAGUGGCGAACGGGUGAGUAAUGGUCGAACGCCUAGUAGUGGGAUAACUACGCGAAAGCGUAGCUAAUACCGCAUAAUACGCCCUUCGGGGGAAAGCGGGGACCCUGCCUCGCACUAUUAGAGCGCACGAUAUCGAUUGGGCUAGUUGGUGGGGUAACGGCUCACCAAGGCGACGAUCCGUAGGCUGGUUUGAGAGGACGACCAGCCACACUGUGACCGAGACAUGGCCCAGGACUCCUACGCCGGGAGGCAGCAGUGGGGAAUUUUGGACAAUGGGAAACCCUGAUCCAGCCAUCAUCCUCCGGCGUAUGCGCGAAGGCCUUCGGGGUUAAAAAGCACUUUUGGCAGGAGAAGAAACGGCACGGGCUAAUACCUCGUAACCUGACGGUACCUGCAGAAUAAGCACCGGCGCAAUCAUGCGCCAGCAGCCGCGGUAAUACGUAGGGUGUAAGCGUUAAUCGAAUUACUGGCGGAAGGCGCAGUAAGUAGUUCGGAAAGAAAGAUGGGAAUCCAGAGCUAACUUGAACCGCAUUUAACUACCAGAGCUAGAGUGUCAGAGGGAGGUGGAAUUCCGAAGUGUAGCAGGAAUGCGUAGAUAUGCGGAGAACACCUGAUACGAAGUGCAGCCUCCUGGGAUAACACUGACGUCAUGCACGAAAGCGUGUGGAGCAAACAGAUUAGAUACCCAGCAGUCCACGCCUCAAACGAUGUCAACUAGCUGUUGGGGCCUUCGGUUCUUGGUAGCGCAGCUAACGCGUGAAGUUGACCGCCUGGGGAGUACGGUCGCAAGAUUAAAACUCAAAGGAAUUGACGGGGACCCGGCACAAGCGGUGGAUGGCUGGGAUUAAUUCGAUGCAACGCGAAAAACCUUACCUACCCUUGAGAUAAAUUGGAAUCCCGAAGAGAUUUGGGAGUGCUCGCAAGAGAACCGGAACACAGGUGCUGCAUGGCUGUCGUCAGCUCGUGUCGUGAGAUGUUGGGUUAAGUCCCGCAACGAGCGCAACCCUGUCAUUAGUUGCUACGAAAGGGCACUCGACGAGACUGCCGGCAGACAACCGGAGGAAGGUGGGACAAGUCCUCAUGGCCCUUGCGGUAGGGUCACAUCGCCAAAUGGUCGGGACAGAUCGCUAACCCGCGAGGGGGAGCUAAUCCUAGAAACCUGAUCGUCCGAUCGCAGUUCGCAACUCGACUGCGUGAAGUCGGAAUCGCUGUGACCGUGAUCACAUUGCUUGCGGUGAAUAUCCCUGGCCCGCACACACCGCCCGUCACACCAUGUAGGGGUUUUACCAGAAGUAGUUAGCCUAACCGUAAAGAGGGCGACGAUUUUCACGGUAGGAUUCGGCGAUUUGGGUGAAGUCGUAACAAGGUAG
rnacentral:rRNA from 1 species